UACGUAGGGGGCUAGCGUUGUCCGGAAUCAUUGGGCGUAAAGAGCGUGUAGGCGGCUUGGUAAGUCCGCUGUGAAAGUCCAGGGCUCAACCCUGGAAUGCCAGUGGAUACUGUCAAGCUAGAGUCCGGAAGAGGCGAGUGGAAUUCCUGGUGGUAGCGGUGAAAUGCGCAGAUAUCAGGAGGAACACCAAUGGCGAAGGCAGCUCGCUGGGACGGUACUGACGCUGAGACGCGAAAGCGUGGGGAGCAAACAGG
rnacentral:rRNA from 1 species